rnacentral:rRNA from 1 species
UACCAGCUCCUCGAGUGGUCGGGGCGAUUAUUGGGCCUAAAGCAUCCGUAGCCGGUUCAGUAGGUCUUCUGCAAAAUCCAAUCGCUUAACGGUUGGCCCGCAGGAGAUACCGCUGGACUAGGAGGCGGGAGAGGUGGACGGUACUCCAUGGGUAGGGGUAAAAUCCUUUGAUCCGUGGAAGACCACCAGUGGCGAAGGCGGUCCACCAGAACGCGCUCGACGGUGAGGGAUGAAAGCUGGGGGAGCGAACCGG